rnacentral:rRNA from 1 species
UACGAGGGGGGCAAGCGUUGUUCGGAAUUAUUGGGCGUAAAGGGCGCGUAGGCGGUGCGGUAAGUCACCUGUGAAAUCUCCGGGCUUAACUCGGCGUCUGCAGGCGAAACUGCCGUGCUGGAGUAUGGGAGAGGGAUGCGGAAUUCCAGGUGUAGCGGUGAAAUGCGUAGAUAUCUGGAGGAACACCGGUGGCGAAGGCGGCAUCCUGGACCAACACUGACACUGAGGAGCGAAAGCCAGGGGAGCAAACGGG